rnacentral:rRNA from 1 species
UACGGAGGGGGCGAGCGUUGCUCGGAAUCACUGGGCGUAAAGGGCGCGUAGGCGGUCGGGUCAGUCGGUCGUGAAAUCCCCUGGCUUAACCAGGGGAUUGCGUCCGAAACUGCCUGACUAGAGGCCGGGAGAGGAGAGUGGAAUUCCCAGUGUAGCGGUGAAAUGCGUAGAUAUUGGGAGGAACACCGGUGGCGAAGGCGGCUCUCUGGACCGGUUCUGACGCUGAGGCGCGAAAGCUAGGGGAGCAAACAGG